rnacentral:rRNA from 1 species
GGGAAUAUUGGACAAUGGGGGCAACCCUGAUCCAGCAAUGCCGCGUGUGUGAAGAAGGUUUUCGGAUUGUAAAGCACUUUCGACGGGGACGAUGAUGACGGUACCCGUAGAAGAAGCCCCGGCUAACUUCGUGCCAGCAGCCGCGGUAAUACGAAGGGGGCUAGCGUUGCUCGGAAUGACUGGGCGUAAAGGGCGUGUAGGCGGUUUGUACAGCCAGAUGUGAAAUCCCCGGGCUUAACCUGGGAGCUGCAUUUGAUACGUGCAGACUAGAGUGUGAGAGAGGGUUGUGGAAUUCCCAGUGUAGAGGUGAAAUUCGUAGAUAUUGGGAAGAACACCGGUGGCGAAGGCGGCAACCUGGCUCAUAACUGACGCUGAGGCGCGAAAGCGUGGGGGAGCAAACAGGAUUAGAUACCCU